ACGCUCGACACCUACGGGAGGCAGCAGUGGGGAAUAUUGCACAAUGGGGGAAACCCUGAUGCAGCGACGCCGCGUGAAGGAAGAAGUAUUUCGGUAUGUAAACUUCUAUCAGCAGGGAAGAAACUGACGGUACCUGACUAAGAAGCACCGGCUAAAUACGUGCUAGCAGCCGCGGUAAUCUGAGCGGGCUGGCAAGGC
rnacentral:rRNA from 1 species